AGAAGACGAGUCCUGAGCUCCAGUCAAGGCCUCGGAUCAGUGAGAGGAUGUGCAGACGUCAGCGUCCCGAGGUUAUGGAACUGCCAUCAGGCAUCUACAGAGACACUGAGGACAAACACAUCACAAACAGCACAGCACAGUUGCUACUCCUGAGAAUCACAGUGGAUGGCCAGGAACCCAUCAUCAGGUCAAAUUUCAUUCUCUGUUUACAGGGAUCAGCUAGUCUUUUCAUCCCUUCAUUGUGUUUAUUGCAAAAAUCUAUCCCCAGACAAAACUCACUGUAUGGGAUUCCACAUGCAAAUGAUGCAUAAUAUUUGCUGCUAAGAGUAUUAACUAUGCUCAGGGAGAUGUCUAAUCACAUGUAAUUUUCAUGGGCUGAUUUCCAUAA